CUAUACAUUGAUGACUACCCAUGGUGCAUAUCACAGAAUGGAUGGACCAUCAUCUCCUAGUCUAUACGGCCUCUGACAGCUGUCUAUUUAAACUAAGAAAAAAAAGCUAUAAUUUUAGUUUUAAAACUUCAACUGACAAGACAUGUUAUUGUGAGUCAUGUAUGUUCGUCAGUAUUUAAAGAAAAUAGAAAAACAAAUCGUACAUUUCGUGGAAAGAAACUGAAGAAUUUAAGCAUGUAGUUCACAUAAUGGAUGGACCCUCAUAUCCUAGUCUUGUGGCUUCUCGGAGUUCGAUGGAGACUGAAUGCAUCUAUUUCCUUUUGUGUUGUACAAAUGCAAGAGAUGCAGUUUUUAACCUCUCCGGAAAUAAAA